rnacentral:rRNA from 1 species
AGAGAGAGACAUGCGCGCAUAUCAAUAAGCGGAGGAAAAGAAACUAACAAGGAUUCCCCUAGUAACGGCGAGUGAAGCGGGAAGAGCUCAAAUUUGAAAUCUUAAAGGGUUUCCCUUUACGAAUUGUAGUUUAAAGAAGUGUUUUCUGUUGAGGUUUUGGUAAAAGUUCUUUGGAAUAGGACAUCAUAGAGGGUGAGAAUCCCGUAUUUGACCUUUACUUUCAACUUUGUGAUACACUUUCAAAGAGUCGGAUUGUUUGGGAAUGCAGUCCAAAAUGGGUGGUAAAUUUCAUCUAAAGCUAAAUAUUGGCGAGAGACCGAUAGCGAACAAGUACCGUGAGGGAAAGAUGAAAAGAACUUUGAAAAGAGAGUUAAACAGUACGUGAAAUUGUCAAAAGGGAAGCGUUUGACACCAGUGUUGUUUUUCUGAAAAUCAAUUAAAGAACUGUUUAUGCUAAGUUGUUUAGACUUUAUCAGCUAUCUGUUUAGUUUUGAGCUUUUCUUUAAUGCACUUUUCAGUUAACAAGUCAACAUCAAUUUCUUUUGCUGUAAAAAAGCUUGAGGAAGGUGGCUUGAGAUUCGUCUUAAGUGUUUAUAGCCUCUUGCCUAUGCAGUCGGAGAGAUUGAGGUCUGCAGCGUAGAUCCUUCGGGGCUAAAUGCAUUUGUGCUAAGUUAUAGCAUUUUAUAGACAACUUAGUUGACUAUGAUUUGUCUUGUAGCUUACUCGCUUAUGUUAUUUUACCUACGCUUAGGAUGUUGACGCAUGAGAUAUACGC